GACGAACGCUGGCGGCGUGCUUAACACAUGCAAGUCGAGCGGUAAGGCCCUUUCGGGGGUACACGAGCGGCGAACGAGUGAGUAACACGUGGGUGACCUGCCCUCAGCUCUGGGAUAAGCCUGGGAAACCGGGUCUAAUACUGGAUAUGACUCCAUGACGCAUGUUGUGGGGUGGAAAGCCUUGUGCGGCUGAGGAUGGGCCCGCGGCCUAUCAGCUUGUUGGUGGGGUGAUGGCCUACCAAGGCGACGACGGGUAGCCGGCCUGAGAGGGCGACCGGCCACACUGGGACUGAGACACGGCCCAGACUCCUACGGGAGGCAGCAGUGGGGAAUCUUGCGCAAUGGGCGAAAGCCUGACGCAGCGACGCCGCGUGAGGGAUGACGGCCUCGU
rnacentral:rRNA from 1 species